UAAUAUUACUACUUAACUCUCUCUACCUUCUCUCUCCUUUGAUCUCCUUUAUCUCUCCCUAUACGACGUACAAUCAAAUUAGGUGACUGCGCACAACAAAGUCGAUGGACGACGAUGAUCGACCUAACAUCUCUUAGAAGAGAUAAGUAUUGAGUGGCACCUCUAUUUUUGGAAUGGUUUCGUAGGGCAAUUCUUUGUUGCUAAUCUAAAAUGCAAAGGACGGUAAUAAGUGGGAGCUGCAAAAGUGUUGAGAAGAAAAUUAAACUUGAAGAAAUGGGUUGUCAAAAUUAAACUGAAGGAUUACACGAGUACUGGGCUUCCAAUUUGGUACCAUUUGCCAUUGAUUUUCUGGCCUUUUGAUUUUUGUUGAUUUUAAGGAUUACAUGAGUGCUGAACUUCCAAUUAUGAUACCGUUGCCAUUGAUUUUUAAGGCUUUCUGAUUUGAGGAGUGUUGGGCUUUUGGUUGUUGCAUUUUUCUGUAGGUUUUCUUGGUGAUUGGUGAUUAAAAUUAAAAUCAUCAAUUCUCCUGCUAUUUUGUUGAUUUUUCACUGAUUGUUGGUGUUUUUAAUGGUAUCGAUGUUGGUGGAGUGGUUACGGUUUGCAAGUAAUGGUGGUGUUGUAAUAUUGACGGUAGUCACAUGUUCAUAAAUUGUACAAUAUGAAAUGUGACUUGUGUAGUGUGGCUUGUGAACAUAAAUAAGAUAUUUGUGAUCGAUUUUAUUUAAUAUGUGACCUA
rnacentral:lncRNA from 1 species